AGGAUUCUGAGGUGCUUGCCGAUGGAUUAAUUGGUCAGAGAAUAAAGGUCUGGUGGCCGUUGGAUGAAAUGUUCUAUGAUGGCCGAAUUCAAUCUUACAACCCUCUAACAAAAAAGCACAAGGUUUUGUACGAUGACGGGGACAAAGAAAUCUUAAACCUUGAG